AACGAACGCUGGCGGCAUGCCUAACACAUGCAAGUCGAACGAGACCUUCGGGUCUAGUGGCGCACGGGUGCGUAACGCGUGGGAACCUGCCCUUAGGUUCGGAAGAACUCCCCGAAAGGGGUGCUAAUACCGGAUAAUGUCUUCGGACCAAAGAUUUAUCGCCUUUGGAUGGGCCCGCGUUGGAUUAGCUAGUUGGUAGGGUAAAAGCCUACCACGGCGACGAUCCAUAGCUGGUCUGAGAGGAUGAUCAGCCACACUGGGACUGAGACACGGCCCAGACUCCUACGGGAGGCAGCAGUGGGGAAUAUUGGACAAUGGGCGAAAGCCUGAUCCAGCAAUGCCGCGUGAGUGAUGAAGGCCUUAGGGUUGUAAAGCUCUUUUACCCGGGAUGAUAAUGACAGUACCGGGAGAAUAAGCUCCGGCUAACUCCGUG
rnacentral:rRNA from 1 species